GAUUCUUGAUGUCACUUUGUGCUGCCAACUCUUGACGUAGCCAUCAGUGCUAGAUUAGGAGGGGUGCUUGCUUGCUUACUACCCAUUGAGCACCUGCUGGGCACUUUAUAUGCAUUGUCUCAUUUGAUCUUUAUGACCCUCUUCUGGGUGGUGGGCUGGUGGAUCAGACCCUGCAGCUGACAUACCAACUCUACCAUCUUGAUUCUUACAGAUUACACAGACAGAGGUCCAGCAAGGACAGCAGCAGUUCAGCCAGUUCACAGAUGGACAGAGGAACAGCGUGCAGCAAGCUCGAGUCUCUGAGCUAACGGGAGAGGCAGAGCCCAGAGAAGUGAAAGCCACAGGAAAUUCAACUCCCUGCACCUCUUCCCUGCCCACCACACACCCCCCCUCACACCGGGCUGGUGCCUCCUGUGUCUGCUGCUCCCAACCCCAGCAGAGCUCCACUUCCCCUCCUCCUUCUGACGCCUUGCAGUGGGUGGUGGUUGAGGUAUCUGGGACCCCCAACCAGCUCGAGACCCAUAGGGAGCUGCAUGCCCCUCUCCCAGGGGUGACCUCACUCUCUCCUCUCCACCCCUCGCAGCAGCUCUACCAGAUCCAGCAAGUCACCAUGCCUGCGGGCCAGGACCUCGCCCAGCCCAUGUUCAUCCAGUCAGCCAACCAGCCCUCCGACGGGCAGGCCCCCCAGGUGACCGGCGACUGAGGGCCUGAGCUGGCAAGGCCAAGGACACCCAACACAAUUUUUGCCAUACAGCCCCAGGCAAUGGGCACAGCCUUCCUCCCCAGAGGACCCGGCCGACCUCAGCGCCUCCUGCAGGCUAGGACACUGGUGCACUACACCCCACGCCUGGGGGCCGAGAUUCUCCAGCAGAAAGAUGCAAUAUUUUUUGUUUCCUUUUUUUCCAUUUUUUUCUCCAAGGAAUCAAUAUUUCAAUAUGUUGAGUGUGUGUCCAAUGCUAUGAAAUUAAAAUAUUAAAUAACAUAUUUAUGGCAUUUUCUUGAAGAGUGUGGUUGAAGAAAUAUUUCUCCUUUUGUUUUUCUUUUUUUGUUUGUUACUGCCACUUCUUUUUAGGAGCAAAUCUCCCCAGGGGUGUACGGUAUUUCUUGACUCUGGGAACAGCUGCUACCCCCAAGACUUGCCACGUUGUUCUGCCCUCAGAUGGAAUUAGGUGAAUGUGUGUAGCUGCUUUUUCACUCGUGGUCCUCUCCCCAUCCCUUGCUCUGACCCCAGAGCUCUGUGUAUUUGCAUCCAGAGGCCAUGGAAACAUUCUUUGCAUUUAAGAGACAGAUUUAUUCCCUGUGGAGAGUGGGUGGAUUCAUUGCCACACUCUUUUCUCCCAGGGACCCAGGAAACUAGGACUUUGUGUGUUUGCUGCCCACCUCCCUUUUAUUUUUUCAACGCAUUAAAAAUUGUGCUAGUCUCCUUUGCAUGGACUUCAAGCUGCAUGAAAU
rnacentral:lncRNA from 1 species